AGGGUUCGAUUCUGGCUCAGGAUGAACGCUGGCGGCGUGCUUAACACAUGCAAGUCGAACGGAGUUUUAAACAGAAGUUUUCGGAUGGAAGUUUAAAACUUAGUGGCGGACGGGUGAGUAACGCGUGGGUAACCUGCCUCAUACAGGGGGAUAACAGUUAGAAAUGACUGCUAAGACCGCAUAAUAUAGCGAAACCGCAUGAUUUUGCUAUCAAAUAUUUAUAGGUAUGAGAUGGGCCCGCGUCUGAUUAGCUAGUUGGUGGGGUAAAAGCCUACCAAGGCGACGAUCAGUAGCCGGCUUGAGAGAGUGACCGGCCACAUUGGGACUGAGACACGGCCCAAACUCCUACGGGAGGCAGCAGUGGGGAAUAUUGGACAAUGGGGGAAACCCUGAUCCAGCGAACCGCCGCGUGAGUGAAGAAGUAUUUCGGUAUGUAAAGCUCUAUCAGCAGGGAAGAUAAUGACAGUACCUGACUAAGAAGCCCCGGCUAACUACGUGCCAGCCGCAGC
rnacentral:rRNA from 1 species